rnacentral:rRNA from 1 species
UAGCGAAGGGGGCUAGCGUUGCUCGGAAUCACUGGGCGUAAAGGGCGCGUAGGCGGCCAUUCAAGUCGGGGGUGAAAGCCUGUGGCUCAACCACAGAAUUGCCUUCGAUACUGUUUGGCUUGAGUCUGGUAGAGGUUGGUGGAACUGCGAGUGUAGAGGUGAAAUUCGUAGAUAUUCGCAAGAACACCGGUGGCGAAGGCGGCCAACUGGACCAGUACUGACGCUGAGGCGCGAAAGCGUGGGGAGCAAACAGG